rnacentral:rRNA from 1 species
ACUCCUACGGGAGGCAGCAGUGGGGAAUAUUGCACAAUGGGCGCAAGCCUGAUGCAGCCAUGCCGCGUGUAUGAAGAAGGCCUUCGGGUUGUAAAGUACUUUCAGCAGUGAGGAAGGGUGGAUAGUUAAUAGCAUGCAUUCAGUUUGACGUUUAGCUGCAGAAGAAGCACCGGCUAACUCCGUGCCAGCAGCCGCGGUAAUACGGAGGGUGCGAGCGUUAAUCGGAAUUACUGGGCGUAAAGCGCAUGCAGGUGGUUUGUU